rfam:Buceros rhinoceros silvestris contig66284, whole genome shotgun sequence.
AAUACUGCUCUUUUCAGAGCAACAAUAUUCAAACCAUAAUAAUUCCU